UUCUCUUCCUCCUCCUCCUUCUUCACUUCUCCCUCUACCUCCUCCUCUUCCUCCUACUCCUUCUUCUCCUCCUUCUCCUCUUCCUUCUUUUUCUCCUCCUUCUCCUAUUUCUCCUCCUCCUCCUCCUCCUCCUUCUCCUCCUCCUCCUCCUCUUUCUCACUUCCCCCCCCUCUUCUUUCUUCUUAGGACACACACAAGUGUCCAGGUUGCCAGGAGCUGGCAUGCAGCGACAGCCUCUCAGAUCCAAGGAACGCGUGAGUUUCAUGUGAUUGAUGGCUGUUGACUGACAGUGGGUUUUGUGGAAUAAUGAGAAGAGUCCCAGUCGGCAAAGGGCUCCAAGAACAAAUGAGGGAAAAAAAUGUGGCUGAAAUUCAAAGGCAAAAAGUUCACUUACUUGCUCAUCAUUCUGCGGACUCCAUGGAAGAUGAAGCCCAUCAUAAGUAUUAAUGUGCAUGACAUCUCCUUCCAGUUAAGACGAAAGGAAAAUCAAGGAGCAAACACAGCCUUUAGCAUCCAAUGCUCGGGAAUGGGACAAUAAGGAAGCGACAUACUCUUUCGAACACAAAACAGUCCUUGCUGUCGCUCAGUACAUACUGAUUCCGUGCGAUCAGUGAACAAGACGCAGCGACCUCAUCCUUCGCACCAGGAACCAGGACUUACCCAGGACUGGCCAGCCUCUCUUGUCUCCAAGGUCCCCAGCCAGGGGCAGCAGUCGUCCCUCUCCAAGCCAUCGUCAUCAUCCAUGCGGUAACAGUUAAAAACGCCUGACCGGCACCAGAAAUCAUACCAACAUGGCCCUCCACUGACUGCCCCUCUGGAACUGAAAGUUUACCAUGCGGAGUCACCGAUCCAGGCUUCCCGCUCCUGUCCUGGGUCUAUGUUACAUGCCUAUAACUUGGCUCCACUAGCUUAAGCUUGGCUGGAAACAGCAAUGUUAAUCACCCCUGACAGCCCAACCCACGCAGUCCUGUGUCUGAACAGUGGCUGUAGCCAGGGCAUUCAAGUCACUGAGCCACUCUUCAGGGUGUGUCUUCAUACUGAAGGGUCUCUCCCUCUGGGUCAUUAUGCUGAGAUCUCUGUGAAACCACACUGG
rnacentral:lncRNA from 1 species